CGCUGGCGGCGUGCUUAACACAUGCAAGUCGAACGGAACUCUUUGGAAAGAGGCUUCGGCCAAUGGAAAUGAGUUUAGUGGCGGACGGGUGAGUAACGCGUGAGGAACCUGCCUUUCAGAUGGGGACAACACCUCGAAAGGGGUGCUAAUACCGAAUGACGUUUCCUAGUCGCAUGACCUGGAAACCAAAGGCCGGGCAACCGGUCACUGAAGGAUGGGCCUGCGUCUGAUUAGCUAGUUGGUGAGGUAACGGCUCACCAAGGCGACGAUCAGUAGCCGGUCUGAGAGGAUGAACGGCCACAUUGGGACUGAGAUACGGCCCAGACUCCUACGGGAGGCAGCAGUGGGGAAUAUUGGGCAAUGGGGGAAACCCUGACCCAGCAACGCCGCGUGAAGGAAGAAGGCCUUCGGGUUGUAAACUUCUUUUAGUAGGGACGAAGAACGUGACGGUACCUACAGAAAAAGCAACGGCUAACUACGUG
rnacentral:rRNA from 1 species